UUGUAAAGAUUUCCAGAAUAUAGAACAUGUAGUGUCUGAUAAAAAAAAAACCACCAAAAGAUUGCUACGAUAAAACUGUUGAGUAACUAUUUGUAAUACAGAAUGCAUCAAGAUGGUGGUAUGCUACAUAUAUAAUAUUGAUACUAUGACAGAUGAGAAAAGAAACUGAAGACAUAACCAAGUGCUGAACAGCAAAGGUAUGAUUAUAACUGUUACUGAUGUUUGAAGAAGUGUGUCAUUAUAGCAUCUACAUAUAUUUCAAUCAUACAUGGUCCAGUACUUCAGACUAGUUUUAAUUUAAAAGAAUUAAAUGGAAUACUAAACUACAACAUCAUAUCUUAAACAUACAGCAAUGAGCUGCAUUUUUGCAUUCUAAACAGUGUCUUAUUUUUAACCUUCCUGUUAAAAAAAAUGAGGGCGAAAGCUAUAGCCAGUGAGUCAACAGUCAAACUCAUAAAUCGAAAAUAAACUGACAACGCCAUGGCUAAAAAUGAAAAAGACAAACAGACAAUUAAUAGUACACAUUAGAAACAACAUUAAAAACUAAAAAUUGAGCAACACAAACCCCACCAAAAACUGGGGGUGAUCUCAGGGUUCUCCAGAAGGGUACGCAGAUCCUGCGCCACAUGUGGCACCCUUCGUGUUGCACAUGUUAUUACAAACCUGGUAAAUAGGGUAAAUAAAUAGUCUAUUUGGUAGGUCACAUUCAUGAAAAGGGAAAGAGGAUUGUUACUUAGGUACGAAGUAAGAAACAAUCCGAUAUCAUCUGUGAAAUGGUUUAUCCAUAACGGUCAACCAACUUGUGAUGAUUGGGUAAACUAUCAUAUUCAGGGGUGAAUCCAGACAUUUCUAAAGGGGGGUUCCAACUAUAUGUCUCCAUUCAAGUGCAUUGAUCGUCUCAAAAAAAGGGGGGUUCCAACCACCGGAACCCUCCCCUUGGAUCCACCACUGAUAUUUGAGAAAUAGCCACAGUACAUUUUGUUGAUAUCAAAUUAAAGUUGAGAAGCUACGGUAAUCUAUAUAUGUUUAUCUACUUUUCAUUGUCUACGUAUAUAUCAUACUGUCACCUUGAUUUGUAAAUAAAUAAAAAUCAUGUUGGAAGAAAAAGUUUAGUCAUGUGUAUGAAAAAUGUUUUAGGGAACUAAAUUGUGGUAUAUUCUUCAGAUUGAAACAUGCAACAGAAAGUUCAAUCAUGACCAUAAAGCAGGCAAGACAUUUCAGUAUGUACAAUUUUGUAAAAAUAUGUGAAACUAUGUCAAAGCAUAUUUUUUGUUUUGUUUUUUCAGAUUAAGAUAUAAGGAGUAGAUAUUUUCCUGAAGAUCUAAUUAAUGUCUCGAAGAUAAUGUGAAGGGAA
rnacentral:lncRNA from 1 species